AAAAUUUUAAGUUAAUAAAACUAUAAGCCUUCAAAGUUUAUUAUAUAAGAAACAUCCUUGUAAAUUUUU
rnacentral:tRNA from 1 species